AGUCUGACGGAGCACGCCGCGUGAGUGAUGAAGGUUUUCGGAUCGUAAAGCUCUGUUGUUAGGGAAGAACAAGUACCGUUCGAAUAGGGCGGUACCUUGACGGUACCUAACCAGAAAGCCACGGCUAACUACGUGCCAGCAGCCGCGGUAAUACGUAGGUGGCAAGCGUUGUCCGGAAUUAUUGGGCGUAAAGCGCGCGCAGGUGGUUCCUUAAGUCUGAUGUGAAAGCCCACGGCUCAACCGUGGAGGGUCAUUGGAAACUGGGGAACUUGAGUGCAGAAGAGGAAAGUGGAAUUCCAAGUGUAGCGGUGAAAUGCGUAGAUAUUUGGAGGAACACCAGUGGCGAAGGCGACUUUCUGGUCUGUAACUGACACUGAGGCGCGAAAGCGUGGGGAGCAAACAGGAUUAGAUACCCUGGUAGUCCACGCCGUAAACGAUGAGUGCUAAGUGUUAGGGGGUUUCCGCCCCUUAGUGCUGCAGCUAACGCAUUAAGCACUCCGCCUGGGGAGUACGGUCGCAAGACUGAAACUCAAAGGAA
rnacentral:rRNA from 1 species